AGCAGUCGCCGCGGUAAUACGGAGGGUGCAAGCGUUAAUCGGAAUUACUGGGCGUAAAGCGCACGCAGGCGGUCUGACAAGUCAGAUGUGAAAUCCCCGGGCUUAACCUGGGAACUGCAUUUGAAACUGUCAGGCUAGAGUCUUGUAGAGGGGGGUAGAAUUCCAGGUGUAGCGGUGAAAUGCGUAGAGAUCUGGAGGAAUACCGGUGGCGAAGGCGGCCCCCUGGACAAAGACUGACGCUCAGGUGCGAAAGCGUGGGGAGCAAACAGGAUUAGAUACCCGAGUAGUCCCUGUCUCUUAUAA
rnacentral:rRNA from 1 species